rnacentral:rRNA from 1 species
GAUGAACGCUAGCGGCAGGCCUAAUACAUGCAAGUCGAGGGGUAGUGGUUGCUUGCAACCAUGAGACCGGCGCACGGGUGCGUAACGCGUAUGCAACCUACCUUCAUCUGGGGGAUAGCCCGAAGAAAUUCGGAUUAACACCGCAUAAAAUCACAGUACCGCAUGGUACAAUGAUCAAACAUUCAUGGGAUGGAGAUGGG